rnacentral:tRNA from 1 species
GGCUGGGGCUCAGUGGUAGAGCACUUGCCCAGCAUGUGUGAGGUACUGGGUUCAAUCCUCAGCACCA